GAUGAACGCUAGCGGGAGGCUUAAUACAUGCAAGUCGAGCGAGAAUCACCUUUCGGGGUGAGGACAGCGGCGCACGGGUGAGUAACGCGUACACAAUCUGCCCUAUACAGAGGAAUAGCCCCGGGAAACUGGGAUUAAUGUCUCAUGGUCCUUGUUCAUCGCAUGGUGAUAAAGGUAAAGAUCCGUCGGUAUAGGAUGAGUGUGCGUACUAUUAGUUAGUUGGUGAGGUAACGGCUCACCAAGACGAUGAUAGUUAGGGGGCGUGAGAGCGUGAUCCCCCACACGGGUACUGAGACACGGACCCGACUCCUACGGGAGGCAGCAGUAAGGAAUAUUGGGCAAUGGAGGCAACUCUGACCCAGCCAUCCCGCGUGUAGGAUGACUGCGCUAAGCGUUGUAAACUACUUUUAGAUAGGAUGAAACCCCGAGAUUUAUCUCGGGCUGACGUUAUUAUCAGAAUAAGCACCGGCUAACUCCG
rnacentral:rRNA from 1 species